GUGGGGAAUCUUGCGCAAUGGGCGAAAGCCUGACGCAGCCAUGCCGCGUGAAUGAUGAAGGUCUUAGGAUUGUAAAAUUCUUUCACCGGGGACGAUAAUGACGGUACCCGGAGAAGAAGCCCCGGCUAACUUCGUGCCAGCAGCCGCGGUAAUACGAAGGGGGCUAGCGUUGCUCGGAAUUACUGGGCGUAAAGGGCGCGUAGGCGGAUCGUUAAGUCAGGGGUGAAAUCCCAGAGCUCAACUCUGGAACUGCCCUUGAUACUGGCGAUCUUGAGUGUGAGAGAGGUAUGUGGAACUCCGAGUGUAGAGGUGAAAUGCGUAGAUAUUCGGAAGAACACCAGUGGCGAAGGCGACAUACUGGCUCAUUACUGACGCUGAGGCGCGAAAGCGUGGGGAGCAAACAGGAUUAGAUACCCCUGUAGUCC
rnacentral:rRNA from 1 species